ACGCCCGCAAGGUUAAAACUCAAAGGAAUUGACGGGGACCCGCACAAGCGGUGGAUUAUGUGGAUUAAUUCGAUGCAACGCGAAAAACCUUACCUACCCUUGACAUGUACGGAACCUCGCAGAGAUGUGAGGGUGCCCGAAAGGGAGCCGUAACACAGGUGCUGCAUGGCUGUCGUCAGCUCGUGUCGUGAGAUGUUGGGUUAAGUCCCGCAACGAGCGCAACCCUUGCCAUUAGUUGCUACAUUCAGUUGGGCACUCUAAUGGGACUGCCGGUGACAAACCGGAGGAAGGUGGGGAUGACGUCAAGUCCUCAUGGCCCUUAUGGGUAGGGCUUCACACGUAAUACAAUGGCCGGUACAAAGGGCUGCCAACCCGCGAGGGGGAGCAAAUCCCAGAAAGCCGGUCGUAGUCCGGAUUGUUCUCUGCAACUCGAGAGCAUGAAGUCGGAAUCGCUAGUAAUCGUGGAUCAGCAUGUCACGGUGAAUACGUUCCCGGGUCUUGUACACACCGCCCGUCACACCAUGGGAGUGGGUUCCACCAGAAGUAGUUAGCCUAACCGCAAGGGGGGCGACUACCACGGUGAGAUUCAUGACUGGGGUG
rnacentral:rRNA from 1 species